rnacentral:rRNA from 1 species
AAUGGGGCGCAAGCCUGAUGCAGCCAUGCCGCGUGUAGUGAAGAAGGCCUUCGGGUUGUAAAGUACUUUCAGCAGUGAGGAAGGCGGGUACGUUAAUAGCGUGCUCGUUUGACCGUUAGCUGCAGAAGAAGCACCGGCUAACUCCGUGCCAGCAGCCGCGGUAAUACGGAGGGUGCGAGCGUUAAUCGGAAUUACUGGGCGUAAAGCGCAUGCAGGUGGUUUGUUAAGUCAGAUGUGAAAGCCCCGGGGCUCAACCUCGGAAUUGCAUUUGAAACUGGCAGACUAGAGUACUGUAGAGGGGGUAGAAUUUCAGGUGUAGCGGUGAAAUGCGUAGAGAUCUGAAGGAAUACCGGUGGCGAAGGCGGCCCCCUGGACAGAUACUGACACUCAGAUGCGAAAGCGUGGGGAGCAAACAGGAUUAGAUACCCCUGGUAG